rnacentral:rRNA from 1 species
AGAACGAACGCUGGCGGCAGGCUUAACACAUGCAAGUCGAACGCUCGUAGCAAUACGGGAGUGGCAGACGGGUGAGUAACGCGUGGGAACAUACCCUCCGGUUCGGAAUAGCUCAGGGAAACUUGGAUUAAUACCGGAUACGGCUGAGAGGCGAAAGAUUUAUCGCCGGAGGAUUGGCCCGCGUUCGAUUAGCUUGUUGGUGAGGUAACGGCUCACCAAGGCGAUGAUCGAUAGCUGGUCUGAGAGGAUGAUCAGCCACACUGGGACUGAGACACGGCCCAGACUCCUACGGGAGGCAGCAGUGGGGAAUAUUGGACAAUGGGCGCAAGCCUGAUCCAGCAAAUGCCGCGUGGAUGAAGAAAGGUCUUCGGAUUGUAAAAGUCCUUUCGACGGGGACGAUGAUGACGGUACCCGUAGAAGAAGCCCCGGCUAACUUCGUGCCAGCAGCCGC